rnacentral:rRNA from 1 species
UUCAUCGGUAUGGGAUGGGGUCGCGUCCUAUCAGCUUGAUGGCGGGGUAACGGCCCACCAUGGCUUCGACGGGUAGCCGGCCUGAGAGGGCGACCGGCCACAUUGGGACUGAGAUACGGCCCAGACUCCUACGGGAGGCAGCAGUGGGGAAUAUUGCACAAUGGGCGCAAGCCUGAUGCAGCGACGCCGCGUGCGGGAUGACGGCCUUCGGGUUGUAAACCGCUUUUGACUGGGAGCAAGCCCUUCGGGGUGAGUGUACCUUUCGAAUAAGCACCGGCUAACUACGUGCCAGCAGCCGCGGUAAUACGUAGGGUGCAAGCGUUAUCCGGAAUUAUUGGGCGUAAAGGGCUCGUAGGCGGUUCGUCGCGUCCGGUGUGAAAGUCCAUCGCUUAACGGUGGAUCCGCGCCGGGUACGGGCGGGCUUGAGUGCGGUAGGGGAGACUGGAAUUCCCGGUGUAACGGUGGAAUGUGUAGAUAUC